CAAUCGGCCCUUUUCAGGGCCACAAAAAUAUUCAAACGUAUGAAU
rfam:Trichomalopsis sarcophagae strain Alberta scaffold418, whole genome shotgun sequence.